rnacentral:lncRNA from 1 species
GCGAAAGCGAAACGCGAAACGCGAAACGCCUAAAAUGCGGAAAAGCUGUGCGAAACGGACCCAAAAGUUGGGACCCUGUUUCGCAUUUUAGGCCUUGGGUCCGUACUAAAAUGCGAAAUCGGUGGGUGCGAAACGUCAACAGAACGUCAACAGACGACGCCAUUAACAUACUUGCGUCACAAAAAUCUACUCGUCAAGAUAAAAACACCUUUCCUUCGAAUAAUUAAAGUCAUGGGAGAUGUCCACUUCAUGAAACUCGCUUUGUCGUUUUGCUGAAGUAAGCUGCAAAGAAAUAAAUGAGAGUAAAGAAAAAACUUCCCAAUGUGAGGUGACAUGAUGUUUCACCUGAUACAUUGUAACCUACAUUCUCUGAGGUAAUACAUCUACUGUUUCUGAGAAAACCUUGGUGGAAUUCUGAGAGUGGUAAUAGUUCCAUAGCUCAUGCUGCCCAAGUAAUAGUGUGGAGCAGGCGUAUCUGUGCUUUACUUUUGCUACAAGCGCUAGAAGAUUGGCAUCACAAAUCAAAUCUUUGUAUUUUCAAUCUACAAUUCAGGUGGAUACAAUAUGUGUGCAUGUGCGCAUGGAAAGUGCGUCGUGUCGAUGACUUUGUCAACGGGGGAAAAAUGUUAAGCUUAAUUUGCUCGAUAAUAGAAUUUGUUUUAAUCUUUU